rnacentral:rRNA from 1 species
AUUGAACGCUGGCGGCAUGCCUUACACAUGCAAGUCGAACGGUAACGGGCCUUCGGGUGCCGACGAGUGGCGAACGGGUGCGUAAUACAUCGGAACGUGCCCGAUCGUGGGGGAUAACGAGGCGAAAGCUUUGCUAAUACCGCAUACGAUCUACGGAUGAAAGCAGGGGACCGCAAGGCCUUGCGCGGACGGAGCGGCCGAUGGCAGAUUAGGUAGUUGGUGGGAUAAAAGCUUACCAAGCCGACGAUCUGUAGCUGGUCUGAGAGGAUGAUCAGCCACACUGGGACUGAGACACGGCCCAGACUCCUGCGGGAGGCAGCAGUGGGGAAUUUUGGACAAUGGGCGCAAGCCUGAUCCAGCCAUGCCGCGUGAAGGAUGAAGGCCUUCGGGUUGUAAACUGCUUUUGUACGGAACGAAAAGCCUUCUUUUAAUACAGGAGGGUCAUGACGGUACCGUAAGAAUAAGCACCGGCUAACUACGUG